rnacentral:rRNA from 1 species
UACGGAGGGGGCUAGCGUUGUUCGGAAUUACUGGGCGUAAAGCGCACGUAGGCGGCUUUGUAAGUUAGAGGUGAAAGCCCGGAGCUCAACUCCGGAAUUGCCUUUAAGACUGCAUCGCUUGAAUCAUGGAGAGGCGAGUGGAAUUCCGAGUGUAGAGGUGAAAUUCGUAGAUAUUCGGAAGAACACCAGUGGCGAAGGCGACUCACUGGACAUGUAUUGACGCUGAGGUGCGAAAGCGUGGGGAGCAAACAGG